rnacentral:rRNA from 1 species
ACCUAAAAUCUAGCCCUCAGCCCCCCUAUGCGCCCUCCUUCUCACCUCUUCUAAACAAAACAUUCUGACAAUCUAGUAAAGGCGAUAGAAAAAUUUAUUUGAGCUAUACUGCAAGUACCGUAAGGGAAAGAUGAAAUAGAAAUGAAAUAAACAAUCAAGCACAGAAAAGUAGAGCUUCAGCCUCGUACCUUUUGUAUUAUGGUUUAACUAGUCCUUAUCAAGCAAAACGAAUUUAAGUCUGACCCCCCGAAACUAGGCGAGCUACUUCAAGGCAGCCUGAUGGGCCAACCCGUCUCUGUUGCAAAAGAGUGGGAAGACCUUCGAGUAGAGGUGACAAACCAACCGAGCCUAGAAAUAGCUGGUUACCCAGUAAAAGAAUUUUAGUUCUUCCUAAAGUUUAAUUAUGCCUAAAAACAAACCCUCUUACUUUAGAGGUAUUCAAACGAGGUACAGCUUGUUUGAAACAGGAUACAACCUAGAAUAACGGGUUAUUAAAUAGCAAAGUAUCAAAGUGGGCCCAAAAGCAGCCACCUUUAAAAUAGCGUCAAAGCUUAACUACCCUAUUGCCCCAAUCACUUCAAUUAGUAUAAACCCUUAAUUAACACCGGGUGCUUCUAUAUCCUUAUAGAAAUCAUUAUGUUAAAACUAGUAACAAGAAGAAACCCUUCUCUUUUAAAUGUGAGAGUAAGCCAGAAAGGAUAAACCACUGUCAAUUAACACGUAUGACUCAAAAUUAGUAACAUCACAAGAAAACCCUACUGAUAUGAGUGUUAAUCUAACACAAGAACAUUUUAAGAAAGAUUUUUAAAAAAGGAAGGAACUCAGCAAACGUCAGCCUCGCCUGUUUACCAAAAACAUCGCCUCUUGAAUUUGUAUAAGAGGUCCAGCCUGCCCAGUGACCUAGUUUAACGGCCGCGGUAUCCUAACCGUGCGAAGGUAGCGUAAUCACUUGUUCUUUAAAUGAGGACUAGUAUGAACGGCAUCACGAAGGCUGUACUGUCUCCCCUUUUUAAUCAGUGAAACUAAUCUUCCCGUGAAGAAGCGGGAAUGCUAUAAUAAGACGAGAAGACCCUAUGGAGCUUUAAACUAUUUAACACUUGCUGCCACCCAACUACUUUCAGAAACCUCACAAAAAACACAGCAUUAUGAUUACAAGUUUUCGAUUGGGGUGAUCACGGAGUAAAAAUCAACCUCCACGCCAAAUGGGCCCAACCCCCUGAACUAUAAGCCACAACUUUAAGUACUAAAAAAUUAUUGUUUCUUGACCCAAUGACUUGAUCAACGAACCAAGUUACCCUAGGGAUAACAGCGCAAUCCACUUCAAGAGCCCCUAUCGACAAGUGGGUUUACGACCUCGAUGUUGGAUCAGGGUGUCCAAGUGGUGCAGCCGCUACUAAAGGUUCGUUUGUUCAACGAUUAAAACCCU